rnacentral:rRNA from 1 species
CCUACGGGGGGCUGCAGUGGGGAAUAUUGGGCAAUGGGCGCAAGCCUGACCCAGCGACGCCGCGUGAGGGAAGAAGGCCUUUGGGUCGUAAACCUCUGUUGUAUGGGAAGAAGGAAGUGACGGUACCAUACGAGGAAGUCCCGGCUAACUACGUGCCAGCAGCCGCGGUAAUACGUAGGGGACGAGCGUUGUCCGGAAUUACUGGGCGUAAAGGGCGCGCAGGCGGAUAUUUAAGUCAGCUGUAAAAGGCAUGAGCUCAACUCAUGUAUGCGGUUGAAACUGGGUAUCUAGAGUGCUGGAGAGGUAGGCGGAAUUCCCGGUGUAGCGGUGAAAUGCGUAGAUAUCGGGAAGAACACCAGUGGCGAAGGCGGCUUACUGGCCAGCAACUGACGCUGAGGCGCGAAAGCCAGGGGAGCGAACGGGCUUAGAUACCCCAGUAGUC